CAGCUGCGUCAUCACGUCUCGCAGGUGCGUCAAAUUAAACCUGCUUCUGUUGACAGACAAAACAAGCGUUUGUGCCGCUACUGAAGAGAAAUUCAUCAACUUUAGACCUCAACAAACAUCUUGAAUGUUUUAUCUUAGAGGCCAAACGUGCGUCGUUUCUGUAACGUAACGUGAAAAGCUGAAUUCUUUACGUCAACCGUCAUUCAUUUGAAAAGUUGUAUUUAUAUUUUAACCGCCGCUGGACUUUAACGGCCUCUGAGGCCUCCCGCUAGUUUCUUUCUGUGUUGCUAGGGGGGAACUGCCUCCGUUGCUAUGCCUAUUAGCUUUAUUACCGACACCUGUCGCUGACGACGUCACUAAACAGCGACCUCCGGAGUUUGAUGACCGGAAGGAGCAACAUGUUGCCUGGAUACGACCACAAGACGCCAAACCAAGGUAUUU